CGGGGUUGCACUCUCCUGGAUGGAGACCCCUGAUUACCACUGGGAUCGCUUUGGACUUCCACAUCUGUUCCAGAUGUUCCUUCAGCCGCUGCAGGACUUGGGGACUUUUAGGGUAUAUGCAGCACAGAUGUUCUUGCACACAGACCCAGCUUGCAUCUUACAUCCUGUUGCCUGCCAUGUGUUGGAUAGUCUCUGGGGCAGCCUUGCACAGUCUGCAGCUUGGGUCCUGUUGGUUGUGGUAAACGCUUACUUCUAUGGAUCUGGCACUUGGGGCCUGUGUUUGUGUUGCCAUCAUCGGAGCCUCUGCGCUGUCGGCUUCUAACCAGUAGGAUUUCCUAAUGUCAGUCAGUUCCUCUGUCUGUCAUCCCAUGUAGGGGCUUGGUCGUCCGUGACAGUUUCUCUUCCUGUUCCUCAUCACCGUCUGUCGGCAGCUGCCUGAGGCAAUCAUUUUUGUUGUUGCAUCAAAUCAUUUUUAAAUAAUAUUUUCAACCAGUAGUUAUGAUUUUCAAUUUCUUACAGUAUCUAAGAGAACAGUAUGAAUCGGUUCUAUCAGAUUCAGUGUACAGUUACAGAGUUUCUUUUUUAGUCCGUUAUAUUAUUUUGAAUUAUGAAACAGUUUUUUAGUUUUCAUGAGAACUUUAUUUUGCAAAGUAUCCAAAGCCAUUUGUUUAUAAUGAGGGGAAAUUCUGAUCACUGUGCUUUCCCCCUGUAGUCCUAUAGUAUCAGUUUGCUAUUGUGCAUUACAUGGUCAUUUUUAGCAGACUGGUUGUUAAUGCCACGGAAAAAAAUAAGUUACACAUUUAUUAGGACCAAAAUUAAACCCGUAUAUGGGUUUAAUUAAUAUCAGCUCUUAUUCUUUCACGACAGUUUACGAUAGCAUCAAUCGAUUACUAAUGUCUGUCUGCCGAGCCCUCAAGAUAAAACGUCAUACUUGCGCGACAGCAGGGUCAAACGGAGAGGCUGUUGUUGAUGUCAAAACAUUUUGAGACGGCCCUCUGUGAACUGAGAGAAAAUGUCUACCGCUAUGAAUUUCGGGUCGAAGACUUUUAAACCUCGGCCUCCGGACAAAGGCUCGUUCCCACUGGACCAUUUCGGAGAGUGCAAAGCCUUCAAAGAAAAGUUCAUGAAAUGUCUCAGAGAGAACAACUAUGACAACUCCAUGUGCCGACUGCAGUCCAAAGACUACCUGGAGUGCCGAAUGGACCAUCAGCUGAUGACCAAGGAGCCUCUGGAGAAACUGGGAUUUAAGGACCUGAUGGAUCCUCCCCCCAGCCAAGCAGGCAAAGACAACAAAUCCUGAUUUGACUCCACAUCUGCUGUUUCCAAAGUGCAGAAGCAUAGAAUAAAGUGCUGUGACCGUGAGCUGACAAGGAUGACUGCAAAGACUCUGAACAUGCAGCUCCAGCACGAGGACUGUGUGUUUUCAGUCAAUACAAAUUAAUUUUGUACAUAAGAUGACUUUAUGUAAUAUAUAGAUGCUGUUUUGCUUGUCAAUAAAUCUUUUUUAUCUAAACUUUUAUUUUGAAGCCUUUGACACAGUUGCAGCAGUGACAUUCUCUGAACAGUUCAAAAACAAACCCGCUUAUCAAAAAUCGACUACUCUUAUGUUUCUUGAACACAACCUUUAUGAAAUUUAAAGGCUUCCUGGAUCUUCUCAAAUCCUGUAUGGUGGAAUUCAAACCAAAUGUGCCUGUUUGGCAUUUAAGACUGUUUAUUGUUAAGUAUUUUUGAUACUGUCCCAUGAAAUGACCAAAACGAAUGAUUUGUCCAUGUCAGAGAAAAGUCGUUCUCCUGGAAAUCCUUCCAAACAAAACAUUCUUGUUCAGUCUUUUUAACUGAACUGCACUGUCAUGAAGUUUAACUUUUAAAACACUAACGGAGGCCUGUAGUGUAUAUGGUUUUUCAUCGUUUCUCUGAGCAUCGUAUCGCCUGAUCUUGGGAAUUUCUCAGGACAUCCACCUCUGGGAAGACAGUCAGCAGUCUUAAAUGCUGUCGCUGUAGAUCUGGAUGUCAAAUUGUUUGGAAAUUACUUUAUAACUCUUUCGAGGUAGAGAAGCAGCGAUAGUUGUUUCUGUAAGAUCACUGCUGAUAUCUCUGACGCACACCUGAAUGCUCCAGACAAGCAAAGACUUUGCUUCUCACUCUUACUGAUAAUCAGUUUGAUUUGAUUAGCAGCACCUGGCUGUUACUCACCUUCUGAUAGUGAUGGCCAAAUGAAGCUUUCUGAAGCACUGAAGCUUGUAUUGAAAAACGGUUCAUUACUCGAAGCUUUUCAACACAGUCCUCUCCGGUGACAUCUGGUGGCGAAAAUUUUAAAGAGCAGCUUGAAUCUGCAGAAUAAAACGGACUGCUCAAUUAUCACUGCUCACUCAAGAGUGGAGCUCUCUCUGAUAUUGGGCCACCGUUCCGUUGCUUUGAACAUGUAAUUGGUUUUGUUUUCUCGAUUGGGGGGCUGAAAAAAAUGUAAUGCGUAUUUGCGUAAUACAUUUUGAUCAAUAAACUUUCCCUAUUUAAACAU